GACGAACGCUGGCGGCGCGCCUAAUACAUGCAAGUCGAGCGAGAAGACGUAGCAAUACGUUUGUAAAGCGGCGAACGGGUGAGGAAUACAUGGGUAACCUACCCUAGAGUGGGGAAUAACUAGCCGAAAGGUUAGCUAAUACCGCGUACGCUCCUUGGACUUCGGUUCAGGGAGGAAAGCGAUGCCGAGGGUAUCGCGCUCUUGGAUGGGCUCAUGUCCUAUCAGCUUGUUGGGAGGUAACGGCUCACCAAGGCUUCGACGGGUAGCUGGUCUGAGAGGACGACCAGCCACAUUGGGACUGAGACACGGCCCAGACUCCUACGGGAGGCAGCAGUAGGGAAUCUUGCGCAAUGGGCGAAAGCCUGACGCAGCAACGCCGCGUGGGGGA
rnacentral:rRNA from 1 species